rnacentral:rRNA from 1 species
GACAGAGGGUGCAAGCGUUAUCCGGAUUCACUGGGUUUAAAGGGUGCGUAGGCGGGUUGGUAAGUCCGUGGUGAAAUCUCCGAGCUUAACUCGGAAACUGCCGUGGAUACUAUCAAUCUUGAAUAUCGUGGAGGUAAGCGGAAUAUGUCAUGUAGCGGUGAAAUGCUUAGAGAUGACAUAGAACACCAAUUGCGUAGGCAGCUUACUACACGAUCAUUGACGCUGAGGCACGAAAGCGUGGGGAGCAAACAGG